AACGCGAAGAACCUUACCUGGGUUUGACAUACACCAGAAAGCUAUAGAGAUAUAGCCCCCCUUUGUGGUUGGUGUCAGGUGGUGCAUGGCUGUCGUCAGCUCGUGUCGUGAGAUGUUGGGUUAAGUCCCGCAACGAGCGCAACCCUUAUCUUAUGUUGCCAGCGCGUUAUGGCGGGGACUCGUGAGAGACUGCCGGGGUCAACUCGGAGGAAGGUGGGGACGACGUCAAGUCAUCAUGCCCCUUAUGUCCAGGGCUUCACACAUGCUACAAUGGCCGGUACAGAGGGCUGCGAUACCGUGAGGUGGAGCGAAUCCCUUAAAGCCGGUCUCAGUUCGGAUCGGGGUCUGCAACUCGACCCCGUGAAGUUGGAGUCGCUAGUAAUCGCAGAUCAGCAACGCUGCGGUGAAUACGUUCCCGGGCCUUGUACACACCG
rnacentral:rRNA from 1 species